CUGCAUACAUGAGUCACACGAGUCGUUCGUCUUGUGUCAGUCUUGUGUGGAGUUGAAUUUGUGCCGCAGCCUGCAGUGAGCAAUAUUUAAAAUUCAUUAUGUUAUCAUCCACGUAAACGUUAAAGGUUGAAAAUGUUUUUCUGGCGAUUUAUGAUCAUGAUAUCAAGAAUUAUUCCUUCCAUCUAAUGAAACGCAAACAUUGACGUGGAGUCUGUCUUGAGCUCUAAAAAGAAAACUAAUGGUUUUAAGUUGAUGAGAUUAAUUGUUGAUGUUGGUGGAGAAGCUUUAAGAAUAACAUUGAGGAAACAACUGUCAGCUUUCCUGAUUUUAUAAAUACUUGGACAC